AAGUAACUCCCCUGUUCUUGAGCAGGGUGCUACUCAACCCGUGUAUAUCUUACCUUUGUUGCUUUGGCGGGCCGCCUUCGGGCGUCGGCUCCGGUUGACAGCGCCCGCCAGAGGACCCAAACUCUUUUGUUUAGUGAUGUCUGAGUACUAUAUAAUAGUUA
rnacentral:misc_RNA from 1 species